CCACUUAGAAUUAAGGAAGAAUAUACCGAAGGAGUGCUUGAAACCCUAACUUAGAUGAAGGGUCGAUCCCGCAGCAGCUAAAAGGUGUUUUGGGCCAGGCGGUUAAUACCAUGCAAUAACUUCUGGGCCCAGUUAAGGAUGCUGUUUCUACUACUCUUUCUAGUGGUCUCACUAUUCCUUUAAAUGGGGCUUUUGAGAGGAUGUUAAUGAUUUCUUAUCUUGAUGAAGAGAUUCUAAUCAUAAGAGAC